UACGUAGGGUGCGAGCGUUAAUCGGAAUUACUGGGCGUAAAGCGUGCGCAGGCGGUCCGCAAAGUCUGAUGUGAAAGCCCCGGGCUCAACCUGGGAACUGCAUUGGUGACUGGCAGGCUUUGAGUGUGGCAGAGGGAGGUAGAAUUCCACGUGUAGCAGUGAAAUGCGUAGAGAUGUGGAGGAAUACCGAUGGCGAAGGCAGCCUCCUGGGCCAACACUGACGCUCAUGCACGAAAGCGUGGGGAGCAAACAGG
rnacentral:rRNA from 1 species